CGCUGGCAGCGUGCCUAAUACAUGCAAGUCGAGCGAACAGAUGAGAAGCUUGCUUCUCUGAUGUUAGCGGCGGACGGGUGAGUAACACGUGGGUAACCUACCUAUAAGACUGGGAUAACUCCGGGAAACCGGGGCUAAUACCGGAUAAUAUUUUGAACCGCAUGGUUCAAUAGUGAAAGACGGUUUCGGCUGUCACUUAUAGAUGGACCCGCGCCGUAUUAGCUAGUUGGUAAGGUAAUGGCUUACCAAGGCGACGAUACGUAGCCGACCUGAGAGGGUGAUCGGCCACACUGGAACUGAGACACGGUCCAGACUCCUACGGGAGGCAGCAGUAGGGAAUCUUCCGCAAUGGGCGAAAGCCUGACGGAGCAACGCCGCGUGAGUGAUGAAGGUCUUCGGAUCGUAAAACUCUGUUGUUAGGGAAGAACAAAUUUGUUAGUAACUGAACAAGUCUUGACGGUACCUAACCAGAAAGCCACGGCUAACUACGUGCCAGCAGCCGCGGUAAUACGUAGGUGGCAAGCGUUAUCCGGAAUUAUUGGGCGUAAAGCGCGCGUAGGCGGUUUCUUAAGUCUGAUGUGAAAGCCCACGGCUCAACCGUGGAGGGUCAUUGGAAACUGGGAAACUUGAGUGCAGAAGAGGAGAGUGGAAUUCCAUGUGUAGCGGUGAAAUGCGCAGAGAUAUGGAGGAACACCAGUGGCGAAGGCGGCUCUCUGGUCUGUAACUGACGCUGAUGUGCGAAAGCGUGGGGAUCAAACAGGAUUAGAUACCCUGGUAGUCCACGCCGUAAACGAUGAGUGCUAAGUGUUAGGGGGUUUCCGCCCCUUAGUGCUGCAGCUAACGCAUUAAGCAUUCCC
rnacentral:rRNA from 1 species